CGUUGAUACAAAAUGUGCAGUGGUUUGGACAAAAAAAACCCACACAACUCCAAUCUUACAUUUCGUGCUCACUCAGUACAUCUGGUUACGUUGGACAUAUUUACACACCAAUGUAAUAUAUUUGGACGCAUUUCUUUUCAACUCUCAAAGACCAUGGUGGAGAAUCCAACAAUGCAGACCAUGGAUAUUGACAAAGACACAUAUGCCAACAAGCCCAGAAAAAAGGAUUACAUCGGUGUUACAUUUUCAGCUAACUUUCAGUGGUGGAAGAGAC